AGGGUCCAUGGACCUCAUCUGCAAAGGCUCCGGCUGCACCUUCAGCAGCUUCGCGAUGGAGUGGGUCCGUCAGGAGCCCCAGAAGGGCCUCCAGUGGGUCGCGAGCAUCAGCAGCAGUGGUGGCACAACCUACUACGCUCCGUCGGUCAAGGGGCGCUUCACCAUCUCCAGGGACAACGGCCAGAGCACGGUGACGCUGCGGAUGACCAACCUGAAGGCCGAGGACACGGCCACCUACUACUGCGCCAAAGAGAGUGCUGGUGGUGGUGGUGGUGAUGGUGAUGGUGGACCUCCUGGAGAACCUCCUGCGACCCUUCAAGGACCACCAGGAGCCCUCUGGAGCCCUUCAGGACCCCUUUAGAGAGCCCUCAGGACCCCUCGAGGUCUUCCAGAACCCCCUGAGAGCCGUCAGAGACCCCUUGAAGGCCUUCCAGGACCCCUCUGGGACCACCAGGACACCUCUGGAGCCCUCCAGGACCCCUUUAGGACCCUCAGGUCUCCUCUAG